rnacentral:snoRNA from 1 species
CUACGCUGAUGAUUCACGAACUGAACUCUCUCUUUCUGAUAGUUUAGUGGAGACAGCAACAAAAAUUCUGAGUAGC